CAGGCACACUGUUGUAUAUGGCUUUGUUUCCACACAUACUUUGUAAAUGUCAUGCGAUUCUCUGAUCAUGCCCAGCAGCGGUAUCAGCAAACCAUAUAUUGCCUGAAUGAAACAGCCUGGAGUUGGCUGAAGCAUGAGGAGACCCCAGGGCUUCACAAUCCCCAAGAAAAAACACAAGAAUUUGUGAAAUGUAAAAUGAAGAUUUUGGAUAGCUAGUGCUUCCUACCAUAACAAAAUUUGUAUUCCCAGACCCAGGCCCAGCAGCAGUAUCAGUAAACCAUAU